CAAAACGUAGCUUAACUCCCAAAGCACCUGGCUUACACCCAGGAAAUAUCGCCCAACGAUCGUUUUGA
rnacentral:tRNA from 1 species